rnacentral:sRNA from 1 species
GUUUUCUUGGGUAUAUACCCAGAAGUGGAAUUUACUUAAUUGUUCUUGAAUAGGGAAUACCUCUGUAUGGUGGACAAUAUAAAAGGCACAAGAAGUCAUAGAGUUCCCUGAGCUCCGACCUCCAAGUUCCCCUCCCAGGAAGCAUCACUGUAACCAGUUUCUGUGACCUCUUCCCUGGAGAGACCAUACUGUACCCAUAGGCACCCUCUACACAGGCAUGAUGACAGCCAUAAGCACUCUUCUACACUUUCCCUUUUUCCUACUUAACAAUAUUUCUUUUUUAAAAAUUUAAAAAUCUAUUUAUUUUUUUCUUCAACUUUUAUUUUAAGUUCAGGGGAACAUAUGCCAGAUGUGCAGGUUUGUUACAUAGGUAAAUGUAUGCCGUGGUGGUUUGCUGCACAGAUCAUCCCAUCACCUAGAUAUUAAGCCCAGCAAAUAUUAGCUGUUCUUCCUGAUGCUCUCCCUCCCCUAACAAUAUUUCUAAAAAAAUCAUUCCAUAGCACCAUUUAAAGAAUAUCCUCAUUCUAUUUAAAAGGUUCAUGGUUUUCCAAAGUGGAGACAAAACUUGUUUUUCUUUCUUUCUUUUUUAAAAUCAGUCCUUUAUUCAUGGACAUUCAGGUUGUUUCCAAUGUUUUGCCACUGUGAGCAAUGCUCUGUUGAUAACAGCCAGCAUUUCCUGAAUGCUUACCAUGUGCCAGGCCCUUGUUAAAAUCCUUCCCAUGUAUCAUAUUUAAUUCUCACUACAACUGUGACAUAAGCACAGGGAGGUGAGUAACUGUCCCAAACCGCAUCUCUGUUUUUGUCCACAGGUGGGAGUGUAAGAUAACCUUCCAGAUAAAGAGUUGCUGCUACCAAAAGAGUGCUGACACCAUCACAGUAUGUUCCCUUCUCAACCCUGGACACGGUUCAAAAGCAGCUAAAGCAGACAAGAAUCUGGGGCAGCCAAUAUUGUACCACCUGCCAAAGCUUGGCACAAACAAUCUGGAAGCCAAAAAUUGCACAUACUGUGGAACAGAGCAAGUGGUUCUGGCCUCCCUGGGAUUUGGAUCUUGGUUUCCAGAGCUAAGAACACAAAGGGUCCCCAGCUGCUGAGCAGCUCCAGGACAUCCUGGGGGAGGAAGAUGAGGCUCCCAACCCCACCCUCUUUACAGAGAUGGAUACUCUGCAGCAUGACGGAGACCAGAUGGAGUGGAAGGAGUCAGCCAGGUGGAUAAAGUUUGAAGAAAAGGUAGAGGAAGGCGGCGAACGCUGGAGCAAGCCCCACGUGUCCACACUAUCCCUGCACAGCCUCUUCGAGCUCCGUACCUGCCUGCAGACGGGGACGGUGCUGCUGGAUUUGGACAGUGGCUCCUUACCACAGAUCAUAGACGAUGUCAUUGAGAAGCAGAUUGAGGAUGGUCUCCUGCGGCCAGAGCUCCGGGAGAGGGUCAGUUACGUCCUCCUGAGGAGGCACCGCCACCAAACCAAGAAGCCCAUCCACCGCUCCUUAGCUGACAUUGGGAAGUCAGUCUCCACCACAAAUCGCAGUCCUGCCCGGAGCCCUGGUGCUGGCCCGAGUCUACACCACUCCACGGAAGACCUGCGGAUGCGGCAGAGUGCAAAUUACGGACAUCUGUGUCAUGCCCAGAGCAGAAGCAUGAAUGACAUUUCUCUCACCCCAAACACAGACCAGCGGAAAAACAAAUUCAUGAAGAAGAUCCCCAAGGACUCAGAAGCGUCCAACGUGCUCGUGGGCGAGGUGGACUUCCUAGACCAGCCAUUCAUCGCGUUCGUGCGCCUCAUCCAGUCGGCCAUGCUGGGAGGAGUGACCGAGGUGCCUGUCCCCACCAGAUUUCUGUUUAUACUACUGGGACCUUCUGGGAGAGCAAAAUCCUACAAUGAAAUUGGCCGUGCCAUUGCAACCCUCAUGGUAGAUGAUCUCUUCAGUGACGUGGCCUACAAAGCCCGCAAUCGGGAAGAUCUGAUCGCAGGAAUUGAUGAAUUUCUGGAUGAGGUCAUCGUCCUUCCUCCUGGAGAAUGGGACCCAAAUAUCCGGAUUGAGCCCCCCAAGAAGGUGCCCUCUGCUGACAAGAGGAAAUCUGUGUUCUCCCUAGCAGAGCUGGGCCAGAUGAAUGGCUCUGUGGGAGGAGGCGGCGGAGCUCCUGGAGGAGGCAAUGGAGGUGGUGGUGGUGGUGGCAGUGGCGGCGGGGCUGGCAGUGGCGGGGCCGGCGGAACAAGCAGCGGGGAUGAUGGAGAGAUGCCAGCCAUGCAUGAAAUCGGGGAGGAACUUAUCUGGACAGGAAGGUUCUUCGGUGGCCUGUGUCUGGAUAUCAAGAGGAAGUUGCCCUGGUUCCCAAGUGACUUCUAUGAUGGCUUCCACAUUCAGUCCAUCUCUGCCAUCCUAUUCAUCUACCUCGGCUGUAUCACCAACGCGAUCACCUUUGGUGGGCUUCUGGGGGAUGCCACCGACAAUUAUCAGGGAGUGAUGGAGAGCUUCCUGGGCACUGCCAUGGCUGGCUCCUUGUUCUGCCUCUUCUCGGGACAGCCUCUCAUCAUUCUCAGCAGCACGGGGCCCAUCCUCAUCUUUGAGAAGCUCCUCUUCGACUUCAGCAAAGGCAAUGGCCUGGACUACAUGGAGUUCCGCCUCUGGAUUGGCCUACACUCAGCUGUCCAGUGCCUUAUCCUAGUGGCCACAGAUGCCAGCUUUAUCAUCAAAUAUAUCACCCGCUUCACCGAGGAGGGCUUCUCCACCCUUAUCAGCUUCAUCUUCAUCUAUGAUGCCAUCAAGAAGAUGAUCGGUGCCUUCAAGUACUACCCUAUCAAUAUGGACUUCAAGCCAAACUUCAUCACUACCUACAAGUGCGAGUGUGUCGCCCCUGACACAGUGAAUACAACCGUGUUCAAUGCUUCAGCCCCAUUGGCACCAGACACCAACGCUUCUCUGUACAACCCCCUUAACCUCACAGCGUUGGACUGGUCCCUGCUGAGCAAGAAGGAGUGUCUGAGCUACGGCGGGCGCCUGCUUGGGAAUUCCUGCAAGUUUAUCCCAGAUCUGGCGCUCAUGUCCUUCAUCCUUUUCUUUGGGACAUACUCCAUGACCCUGACCCUGAAGAAGUUCAAAUUCAGCCGCUAUUUUCCUACCAAGGUCCGGGCCCUGGUGGCUGACUUUUCCAUUGUUUUCUCCAUCCUGAUGUUCUGUGGAAUCGAUGCCUGUUUUGGCCUAGAAACUCCCAAGCUGCAUGUGCCCAGUGUCAUCAAGCCAACGCGGCCUGACCGAGGCUGGUUCGUGGCCCCCUUUGGGAAGAACCCGUGGUGGGUAUACCCAGCAAGCAUCCUGCCCGCCCUGCUGGUGACCAUCCUGAUCUUCAUGGACCAGCAGAUCACUGCCGUCAUUGUCAACCGGAAGGAGAACAAACUGAAGGGAACAGAGAGUAACCGGCAUCAUCGUCUUCAUCCUGACGGGAAUCUCUGUCUUCCUGGCUCCCAUCCUAAAGUGUAUCCCCCUGCCGGUGCUGUACGGAGUCUUCCUCUACAUGGGCGUGGCCUCCCUGAAUGGCAUCCAGUUCUGGGAACGCUGCAAGCUCUUCCUGAUGCCAGCCAAGCACCAGCCGGACCAUGCCUUCCUGCGGCACGUGCCGCUGCGCCGGAUCCACCUCUUCACCCUGGUGCAGAUCCUCUGCCUGGCGGUGCUCUGGAUCCUCAAAUCCACGGUGGCUGCCAUCAUCUUCCCGGUCAUGAUCCUGGGCCUCAUCAUCGUUCGAAGGCUUCUGGAUUUCAUCUUUUCCCAGCACGACCUGGCCUGGAUUGACAACAUCCUCCCAGAGAAGGAAAAAAAGGAGACAGACAAGAAGAGGAAGAGAAAAAAAGGGGCCCACGAGGACUGUGAUGAGGAGCCCCAGUUCCCUCCUCCCUCGGUUAUAAAGAUUCCCAUGGAAAGUGUCCAAUCAGAUCCCCAAAACGGUAUCCACUGCAUUGCCAGAAAAAGAUCUUCCAGUUGGAGUUACUCACUCUGAUUCUUCCUUCAGUGACACAGAACUUGACCGAAGCAUCACCUUGCACUUCAAAAUAUCCUGUCCAGCUUCACCUGCUUUCAGCUACUCACGGAACCCAGUGUUCAUGGUGCCACAGGUGAAGAUAGAGAUGGAGUCAGACUAUGACUUCACAGACAUGGAUAAAUACCGAAGAGAAACUGACAGUGAGACCACCCUCUAGGAUGAAGCAGCUUCUCCCAGAUGGGAGAUGGAGAGCCUGGCUUAGUCUUCACUGGGAAAGUCUUAACUUCUCUGUGCCUGUUUCCUUCUUUAUCAAACAGCGGGAGUCCGUCUGCCUAUAGAAAACUGGAGAUCUAUUGAUGAAAAGUAUUGCUUAGAUGCAAAGCUCUCCCCUUCCCUUUGUAGUAAUUAAAAUACCUAAAGCUAAAUAUUAUAUUUUAUUUUAAAAUGCAGUUCAGCAUAGAAAUUCUAACAUUUCUUUGGAAAUAAAAAAAUGCUUGUUUCCCCAAACCAUAGCUAAGAUAAAGGGGCAAUAGUCAAUUCAUAUUUAAAACAAAUAUCAAUUUAAAAUUGUUUAAAGGUUAGAUUUAAAUAUAGAUGUUCUCGAACAAACUUGUAAUAUACUUUUAUGUCACUAGACCAUCUUUGGAAUAUUUGGCAAUUCUGCAUAUUAAGAAAUGCUGAAAAGGUCCUAUCUUUUCUCCCUGUCACAUCCAAUUUCCUAAGGGUUAUAUGAAAAGUUUGAACCAGCCGGGCACAGUGGCACAUGCCUGUAAUCCUAGCACUUUGGGAGGCCGAGGCAGGUGAAUUGCCUGAGCUCAGGAGUUCGAGACCAGCCUAGGCAACACGGUGAAACCCCGUCUCUACUAAACUACAAAAAAUUAGCCGGGUGUGGUGGCAUGCGCCUGUAGUCCCAGCUAUUCGGGAGGCUGAGGCAGGAGAAUCGCUUGAACCCAGGAGGCAGAAGUUGCAGUGAGCUGAGAUGGCACCACUGCACUCCAGCCUAGGCAACAGAGUGAGACUCCGUAUCCAAACAAAAAAAAAGUUUGAACCAUCUGCAUUAUGGGCCUUGCUCCAGAAGUGUGACUGGGGCUUUCCCAGAUUGAAAAGCCAGUUCCAAAACUCUGUUAAUGAAAGAACCAAUGCAUCUGAGUGGAUAAAUGUUUCUAAAAUAAAAUAGUUCUUGUUAAAGUGAAAUUUGAAACCACAUGUUAAAUCAAAAUGAUCCUUUAAAUUAGUAUCACUGGUUUUUCAUACCUGGGAUCACAUUUCAUGAUACAUUUGGGUGGGUCCUCCCUGCAAAUUUUCAAUGUUUAUUCCCAAAGUCAAACUCCCAUUCAUGUGAACAAUACAGGUUAGACAGAGGUAAGGUCACAUUUUACAUUACAACUUUGCAAUAUUAAUCAACCUAGUACUUUAAAGGAAUGAUUGAAAACUAUUUGGGAAGAUAAAAACCAGUUUCAAUGAAGCAAACCUAUUCCUCAUGAAACUUAAGAUCAGUCAUUUUACCUUCAAUCCACAUUUAAUGAACACCAACCAUGUUGAUUUAAUGCCUACUACGACCCUGACAGCCACAGUGCAUCUGACACUUACUUUCUCCAAAACAACUAUGAUUUGAACCUUGAGUAAAUCACUUGAACCUUGAGGUUAGAGUUACUAUAUUUGCUCAAGAUGACAAAUGCAGGUGCUUUCUUUUUUAAAGAAAAAUGACAUUAGAUCAUUAACACCUUGAGUAUAGGACAGGUAAUUGCCUCUGUAAUUCCCAGAGUCUAGUGUAGUGCCUGGUCCAUAGAAAGCUCUCAAUAAGUGUUUGAUUACAUUUAAUCUCAGAGCUCCCUUCCAAGGGAUACUGCCAAGAGGUAAAGCUCCAAACCUCUACUCUUACUGAGAGCAGAAUUUCUUAGAAUUUCCAGAACCAUCUCCUAUGCUUAAGUAUAAAUUCUUGUCAGACACAGUGGCUCACACCUGUAAUCCCGCUACUUGGGAGGCAGAGGUGGGGGGGAUCAGCAGAGGUCAGGAGGUCAAGACCAGCCUGGGCAACAUAGUGAGACCCAUCUCUAAACAAAUGUUUAAAAAUUAGCUAGGCAUGCUGGCACACACCUGUAGUCCCAGCCAUUUCAGAGGCUGAUGCAGGAGGAUCGUUUAAGUCCAGGAGUUCAAGGCUGCAGUGAGCUAUAAUCAUGCCACUGCACUCCAGCCAGGGAGACAGCUGGAAUCCAUGUCUUAUAAACAAUAAUAAUUAAUUUUUUAAAAAAGUAUUUAUCAUCCACACCAAUCCUGGGGAAGCUAACAAUCCACCCUUAACACAUUUCAGUUUUAAAACCUGGCUGAUCUGGAAUAGAACUUUGUCCAAAUUAAAUUGUAGAAAUGCUAUGGAUUCAAGAGUAAACCUGCUUGAUUAAUCAAACAAGCUGGAAAACUACUGUUAAUUUCUUUGUUGUAAAUUGAUCACUGUAAUUUUACCUUACAUGUCAUUUAUAUUUUGUAUAUACAUGAACAUUUUAAUUUCCAUAGCUUUUAACAGGUUGACAUAAUACUUCUCCAUGCAGUAAGUCAGUCAUUUUUUCCACUUGUAACUGUAAUUCAAUAAAAUUUAAUCCUGUCUGGUCA